CCUACGGGAGGCAGCAGUGGGGAAUUUUGCACAAUGGGCGAAAGCCUGAUGCAGCAACGCCGCGUGAGGGAUGAAGGUCUUCGGGUUGUAAACCUUUGUCUUCUGGGACGAUAAUGACGGUACCUAAGGAGGAAGCCACGGCUAACUACGUGCCAGCAGCCGCGGUAAU
rnacentral:rRNA from 1 species